rnacentral:rRNA from 1 species
AACGCGAAGAACCUUACCAGCCCUUGACAUGGGACGUAUGGGAAGCAGAGACGCUUCUCUUCAGUUCGGCUGGCGUCCACACAGGUGCUGCAUGGCUGUCGUCAGCUCGUGUCGUGAGAUGUUGGGUUAAGUCCCGCAACGAGCGCAACCCUCAUCUUCAGUUGCCAUCGGGUAAGGCUGGGCACUCUGGAGAAACUGCCGGUGACAAGCCGGAGGAAGGCGGGGAUGACGUCAAGUCCUCAUGGCCCUUACGGGCUGGGCUACACACGUGCUACAAUGGCGGUGACAGCGGGCGGCGACGGUGCGAGCCGAAGCCAAUCCCGAAAAGCCGUCUCAGUUCGGAUUGCACUCUGCAACUCGAGUGCAUGAAGUUGGAAUCGCUAGUAAUCGCGGAUCAGCAUGCCGCGGUGAAUACGUUCCGCGGGUCUUGUACACACCG